GAUGAACGCUAGCGGCAGGCCUAACACAUGCAAGUCGGACGGUAACAGGGGUUGCUUGCAACCCGCUGACGAGUGGCGCACGGGUGCGUAACGCGUAUACAAUCUGCCUCUUACAGGGGGAUAGCCUUUGGAAACGAAGAAUAAUACCCCAUGGUAUGUUUAUAUCGCCUGGUAUUAACAUUAAAGAUUUAUCGGUAAGAGAUGAGUAUGCGUCCUAUUAGCUAGAUGGUACGGUAACGGCGUACCAUGGCGACGAUAGGUAGGGGCCCUGAGAGGGGGAUCCCCCACACUGGUACUGAGACACGGACCAGACUCCUACGGGAGGCAGCAGUGAGGAAUAUUGGACAAUGGGCGAGAGCCUGAUCCAGCCAUGCCGCGUGCAGGAAGACUGCCCUAUGGGUUGUAAAACUGCUUUUUUAUACGGGAAGAAAACCCACUUACGAGUAAGUGGCUGACGGUACCGUAAGAAUAAGCAUCGGCUAACUCCGUGCCAGCCGCCGCGGUAA
rnacentral:rRNA from 1 species